rnacentral:rRNA from 1 species
AUGAACGCUGGCGGCGUGCCUAAUACAUGCAAGUCGAGCGAACGGACGAGAAGCUUGCUUCUCUGAUGUUAGCGGCGGACGGGUGAGUAACACGUGGAUAACCUACCUAUAAGACUGGGAUAACUUCGGGAAACCGGAGCUAAUACCGGAUAAUAUUUUGAACCGCAUGGUUCAAAAGUGAAAGACGGUCUUGCUGUCACUUAUAGAUGGAUCCGCGCUGCAUUAGCUAGUUGGUAAGGUAACGGCUUACCAAGGCAACGAUGCAUAGCCGACCUGAGAGGGUGAUCGGCCACACUGGAACUGAGACACGGUCCAGACUCCUACGGGAGGCAGCAGUAGGGAAUCUUCCGCAAUGGGCGAAAGCCUGACGGAGCAACGCCGCGUGAGUGAUGAAGGUCUUCGGAUCGUAAAACUCUGUUAAUAGGGAAGAACGUAUGUGUAAGUAACUGUGCACAUCUUGACGGUACCUAAUCAGAAAGCCACGGCUAACUACGUG